UGGGGAAUAUUGGACAAUGGGCGCAAGCCUGAUCCAGCCAUGCCGCGUGAGUGAUGAAGGCCUUAGGGUUGUAAUGCUCUUUUUGGCGGGGACGAUAAUGACGGUACCCGCAGAAUAAGCCCCGGCUAACUUCGUGCCAGCAGCCGCGGUAAUACGAAGGGGGCUAGCGUUGUUCGGAAUUACUGGGCGUAAAGCGCACGUAGGCGGACUUUCAAGUCAGGGGUGAAAUCCCGGGGCUCAACCUCGGAACUGCCUCUGAUACUGUUGGUCUUGAAUCCGGUAGAGGUGGGUGGAAUUCCUAGUGUAGAGGUGAAAUUCGCAGAUAUUAGGAAGAACACCGGUGGCGAAGGCGGCCCACUGGACCGGUAUUGACGCUGAGGUGCGAAAGCGUGGGGAGCAAACAGGAUUAGAUACCCUAGUAGUCCCUGAGCGGGCUGGCAAGGCGCAU
rnacentral:rRNA from 1 species